rnacentral:rRNA from 1 species
GACGAACGCUGGCGGCGUGCUUAACACAUGCAAGUCGAACGGAAAUGCCCCGCCUUUGUGGGGUGGUCGAGUGGCGAACGGGUGAGUAACACGUGAGUAACCUGCCCCAGACUCUGGAAUAAGCUCAGGAAACGGGGGCUAAUACCGGAUACGAGCUCGUGCCGCAUGGUGGGGGUUUGAAAGGUUCGGCGGUUGGGGAUGGACUCGCGGCUUAUCAGCUUGUUGGUGGGGUAGUGGCUUACCAAGGCGUCGACGGGUAGCCGGCCUGAGAGGGCGACCGGCCACACUGGGACUGAGAUACGGCCCAGACUCCUACGGGAGGCAGCAGUGGGGAAUAUUGCACAAUGGGCGGAAGCCUGAUGCAGCGACGCCGCGUGAGGGAUGACGGCCUUCGGGUUGUAAACCGCUUUCGGCUGGGAAGAAGCGAAAGUGACGGUAACGGGAGAAGAAGCACCGGCUAACUACGUG